rnacentral:lncRNA from 1 species
GGGUUAAAACAUAGAUUGAGCUGCAAUCAAAGUUUAAUCAGAAUUCACUGGUUUACUGAAGGUGUUUAAUUAUUUUUUUUGAAAGCCUUAGAGGAAGAGGUGUGUGGCUGUAAAGUUUUUUUAAAGCUUGCAUCCUUGGUUUUACGUAAUUUAAUGGGCUUCAUUUAAUGUUUUCAUUUUUUUAUAUAUUUCUUAAUUUCAAUCUGCUGCAGCCUCAAGACCAUGACAUUUAGAUUAAAACGUAUUACUGUUUUAACCUAAAUGAGCUGCUUCUGCUUGAAUUAAGGUUAAUGAAAUAACUAAAGUUGUGCGCAAGCGCAAACUUCCAACAAGGACCAUGCGCACGAAGAGUAAGAGAGAUAGAAGAUGUAUCACUUUGACCUCUUUUUUCUCUCAUUCUACUUUUUCUUUAAAUACAAUUUUUGACGAUACUUUGUUAAUUUGAAUCGUGUGUAAUACAAUUUAUUUAUGUCAUAAUUUAUAUGAAAUGUAUCUUUCAAUUCAUCCAUUUCACACAAAAAAAUCCUAUUUUGUUCAACAGAGCAGUGCAUCUUUACUAAACACUGUUAAUAAACGAUCUUUGUCAGACGUGAACCGUCGUGUGCCAGCACUGAGCGAAGUUCCAAUAGAGCCGAGGUGGCACGAUGGGAAAGAAACAGAAGAAAGCCGGAGAAGACAGUGCCAAAGAUGACGGCGUGGACAUCGACGCUUUGGCGGCAGAAAUUGAAGGAGCCGGAGCUGCAAAGGAGCAGAAAGGGAAGAAGAAAAAGAAAGGAGCCAAGAAGGAGGACUUUGAGUACGACACUGAGCCUUCUCCAGAUUGUUUUUCGGACUGCUGUGGGUUUUGUGUGACUAUGUCUGUGCUCCUCCUGCAGCGAGGAUGAGAUCCUGAAGGAGCUGGAGGAGCUCUCCUUGGAAACACAAGGAGGAAAGAAAACAGACACCACAGAAGAUGUAGAGGCUCUCGAGCCUCCCAGACCAGAGAAGAAGAAAACCAGGAAGGGCAAGAAGGGUGGAGGCAGCCCUGAGGAUGAGAAGGCUGAAGACGCAAACAAGGAUAAGAACGAAGAAGACAAAAAGGUCAGCAGAUCAAUUCAUCUCAUUAUUUGAUGUUUGCUCAAAAUAUUUUAAUUACAUGUAAAUAAU